UACAGAGGUCCCAAGCGUUGUUCGGAUUCAUUGGGCGUAAAGGGUGCGUAGGCGGCAUCGUAAGUCGGAUGUGAAAUCUUGGGGCUCAACCCCGAAACUGCAUUCGAUACUGCGGUGCUAGAGGACUCUAGAGGAAAUUGGAAUUCACGGUGUAGCAGUGAAAUGCGUAGAUAUCGUGAGGAAGACCAGUGGCGAAGGCGGAUUUCUGGAGAGUUCCUGACGCUGAGGCACGAAGGCCAGGGGAG
rnacentral:rRNA from 1 species